rnacentral:rRNA from 1 species
UACAUGGGGUGCAAACGUUGCUCGGAAUUAUUGGGCGUAAAGCGCGCGUAGGCGGUUACUCAAGUCGGAUGUGAAAGCCCUCGGCUUAACUGAGGAAGUGCACCCGAAACUGAGUAGCUAGAGUACCAAAGAGGGUCGCGGAAUUCCCGGUGUAGAGGUGAAAUUCGUAGAUAUCGGGAGGAACACCCGUGGCUAAGGCGGCUCUCUAGUACGGUACUGACGCUGAGACGCGAAAGCGUGGGGAGCGAACAGG